GGCACCGACAAUGAAGCAAACCCUGGCUCAAUCCAAACACACCAGAGUCGGAAGGUGUCCCGCGUCAGUCAGUCCACGUGUCGAUGGAAACCUGAGGCCUGGCCAAGUCCAAGCAAGGUCAUCCCCUGACAGAAAGCUUCUGAAGAAGGCUGCAAAACAAUCACACUGGAACCAAACUGCAUGAAACCUUCCAGACCGUCAGAUCCUGGACAUUCAUCUUUGUACCCAGCUUAUUUCAGGCUGACCAGGCUGGGAACCCGAACUACGGUCACUGUGUGGAAUCUACCUUCUCGUCAGAAACUUGGCUAUUUAUAUGUGUUGAACACCAGCUAACCCUCUGGCAUGGGAGAGAGGAUAAGUUAUUCUGCUGUGGUGCUCCUGAAGGACAACAGCUAAGCCAUAAUCAUUGAAGGCAAUGCUCAGCAAUGUGCUCUGAUGAACUGAAUCCUCACAACUAACUCCACGUGACUUGAAGUGCCUGGUCAUUAAGCCUGUUGAAGCGGUUUCGCCAAGGUGUUAAGGAAGAGAUUAUUUCCCUUAUUUCCCUGCCCCCAUGGUCUUUCUCACUGCACCAUUGUGUACGAAAGGAACUGACUGCCUUUCUUUUUUGCUUUUGUAAUUUGCCAGAAGGCACAUGCCUUCAGGAAGAGAGAGAGAAAGUGAGAAUGCACCCUCCAUGGGGAAUGGUCACACAAUC